rnacentral:rRNA from 1 species
CUGAGAGGAUGACCAGCCACACUGGAACUGAGACACGGUCCAGACUCCUACGGGAGGCAGCAGUGGGGAAUAUUGCACAAUGGGCGCAAGCCUGAUGCAGCCAUGCCGCGUGUAUGAAGAAGGCCUUCGGGUUGUAAAGUACUUUCAGCGGGGAGGAAGGGAGUAAAGUUAAUACCUUUGCUCAUUGACGUUACCCGCAGAAGAAGCACCGGCUAACUCCGUGCCAGCAGCCGCGGUAAUACGGAGGGUGCAAGCGUUAAUCGGAAUUACUGGGCGUAAAGCGCACGCAGGCGGUUUGUUAAGUCAGAUGUGAAAUCCCCGGGCUCAACCUGGGAACUGCAUCUGAUACUGGCAAGCUUGA